rnacentral:lncRNA from 1 species
GUUGUAAGAGAUAAAACGCCCAAUCUGCAUGUUGCUCUUGCAUUUGGUUUCAUGGCUCAUUAAAAUGACAUAUUAUGAUGUACUUUACUUGCUUUGGUUUCUCUGCUGAAAUGUUGAUCAAUGUGUUCCUCAAUGAAAUGAAAUGUUUGUCAUUGUCUUCUCCUGUAGUGAAUUCUGGCAUUAAACAACUGAGAGGAAGGUGCUAAAGUGGAUGGCUCCCUUUAUGGAAGAAUGAUGGAUGGUAGAAACUCUAUUGGGGGAAGGAAAAGAAGGUGGGUAACUCCUUAUAAUCUCCCUGUCAACUUAACUGCUGACUAAAAAACUAACGUUAUUUGCUAGUAAGAAACACCUUAACUCUUAACUGCCUUUACUAGGAUGCCCCAAGCUAGGGAUUGCCUAGGAAAAUAGAACCCGGGAUUUAUCAGGUAUGGCUUCGGGGGGAUGGGAGGGUCAUGUCAUGAAAGCUAUGCCAUUCCCUCAAAUUGUUUAGUAUUUUAAAAGUUCUGAAUUUAUUAAUCUGAAUCAGAAUCUGUGAGCUGCCAUUGAUGAUCCAGAUAGGUCUUUGCAUUGUCUAAGCCUUUUCCUUGACUACAUCCUUGAAAUUAUUUAGUAAAGUUUGAUAGGUAAAAUCUCUGAUUCCCGAGAGUCUGAUUUGACAAUUGGGUCCUGUAAAUUAGCUCAAUGACCUAAGUGGAUAGAGGUUUUACGCGUUACUAAAGCUACUAGCUAAGCCUGGCCUUUAAGGGAGAUCAGUGAGGGUCUCUCUAAGUGUCUUGCAUAAGCAUCAAAAUAUAUUUAAUUUGUGUCA